GCCAGGUAUGGUGGUGCAUGUCUGUAAUCCCAGUGGCUUGGGAUGCUGAGGCAGGAGGAUCAUGAGUUCAAAGCCAGCCUCAGCAAAAGUGAGGCACUAAGCAACUGAGUGAAACCCUGUCUCUC
rnacentral:sRNA from 1 species